rnacentral:rRNA from 1 species
AAAGAAACCAACAGGGAUUGCCCCAGUAACGGCGAGUGAAGCGGCAACAGCUCAAAUUUGAAAUCUGGCUCCUUUGGGGUCCGAGUUGUAAUUUGCAGAGGGUGCUUUGGCGUCGGCCGUGGUCUAAGUUCCUUGGAACAGGACGUCACAGAGGGUGAGAAUCCCGUACGUGGCCGCCGGCCUUCGCCGUGUAAAGCCCCUUCGACGAGUCGAGUUGUUUGGGAAUGCAGCUCUAAAUGGGAGAUAAAUUUCUUCUAAAGCUAAAUAUUGGCCAGAGACCGAUAGCGCACAAGUAGAGUGAUCGAAAGAUGAAAAGCACUUUGGAAAGAGAGUCAAAAAGCACGUGAAAUUGUUGAAAGGGAAGCGCUUGCAGCCAGACGUGCCCGCAGUUGCUCACCCGGGCUUUUGCCCGGGGCACUCUUCUGUGGGCAGGCCAGCAUCAGUUCGGGCGGUUGGAUAAAGGCCUCUGUCACGUACCACCCUCUCGGGGGCGGCCUUAUAGGGGAGGCGCAACACGACCAGCCCGAACUGAGGACCGCGCAUUAUGCUAGGAUGCUGGCGUAAUGGCUGUAAGCGGCCCGUCUUGAAACACGGACCAAGGAGUCUAACAUCUAUGCGAGUGUUUGGGUGUCAAGCCCGGGCGCGCAAUGAAAGUGAACGGAGGUGGGAACCCCUCGGGGCGCACCAUCGACCGAUCCUGAAGUCUUCGGAUGGAUUUGAGUAAGAGCAUAGCUGUUGGGACCCGAAAGAUGGUGAACUAUGCCUGAAUAGGGUGAAGCCAGGGGAAACCCUGGUGGAGGCUCGCAGCGGUUCUGACGUGCAAAUCGAUCGUCAAAUUUGGGCAUAGGGGCGAAAGACUAAUCGAACCAUCUAGUAG